rnacentral:rRNA from 1 species
CCUACGGGUGGCAGCAGUGGGGAAUACUGGACAAUGGGGGGAACCCUGAUCCAGCCAUGCCGCGUGUGUGAAGAAGGCCCUCGGGUUGUAAAGCACUUUCAGUGAGGAAGAACGCCUGGUGGUUAAUACCCAUCAGGAAAGACAUCACUCACAGAAGAAGCACCGGCUAACUCCGUGCCAGCAGCCGCGGUAAUACGGAGGGUGCGAGCGUUAAUCGGAAUUACUGGGCGUAAAGCGCGCGUAGGUGGCUUGAUAAGCCGGUUGUGAAAGCCCCGGGCUCAACCUGGGAACGGCAUCCGGAACUGUCAAGCUAGAGUGCAGGAGAGGAAGGUAGAAUUCCCGGUGUAGCGGUGAAAUGCGUAGAGAUCGGGAGGAAUACCAGUGGCGAAGGCGGCCUUCUGGACUGACACUGACACUGAGGUGCGAAAGCGUGGGUAGCAAACAGGAUUAGAUACCCUUGUAGUC